rnacentral:rRNA from 1 species
UCCAGACUCCUACGGGAGGCAGCAGUGGGGAAUAUUGGACAAUGGGGGAAACCCUGAUCCAGCGACGCCGCGUGAGUGAAGAAGUAUUUCGGUACGUAAAGCUCUAUCAGCAGGAAAGAAAAUGACGGUACCUGACUAAGAAGCCCCGGCUAACUACGUGCCAGCAGCCGCGGUAAUACGUAGGGGGCAAGCGUUAUCCGGAUUUACUGGGUGUAAAGGGAGCGUAGACGGCAGCGCAAGUCUGGAGUGAAAUGGCGGGGCCCAACCCCGGAACUGCUCUGGAAACUGUGAAGCUGGAGUGCAGGAGAGGGAAGCGGAAUUCCUGGUGUAGCGGUGAAAUGCGUAGAUAUCAGGAGGAACACCGGCGGCGAAGGCGGCUUACUGGACUGUAACUGACGUUGAGGCUCGAAGGCGUGGGGAGCAAACAGGAUUAGAUACCCUCGUAGU